rnacentral:rRNA from 1 species
UACGAAGGGUGCAAGCGUUAAUCGGAAUUACUGGGCGUAAAGGGUGCGUAGGCGGCUGUUUAAGUCUGUCGUGAAAUCCCCGGGCUCAACCUGGGAAUGGCGAUGGAUACUGGGCAGCUAGAGUGUGUCAGAGGAUGGUGGAAUUCCCGGUGUAGCGGUGAAAUGCGUAGAGAUCGGGAGGAACAUCAGUGGCGAAGGCGGCCAUCUGGGACAACACUGACGCUGAAGCACGAAAGCGUGGGGAGCAAACAGG